UACGUAGGAGGCGAGCGUUGUCCGGAGUUACUGGGCGUAAAGGGCGCGUAGGCGGUCGUGACAAGUCACUUGUGAAAUCUCUGAGCUUAACUCAGAACGGCCAAGUGAUACUGCAGUGCUAGAGUGUGGAAGGGGCAAUCGGAAUUCUUGGUGUAGCGGUGAAAUGCGUAGAUAUCAAGAGGAACACCUGAGGUGAAGACGGGUUGCUGGGCCAACACUGACGCUGAUGCGCGAAAGCCAGGGGAGCAAACGGG
rnacentral:rRNA from 1 species